UUCAUAAACACAGAAUAAACACAGAAAACUUGAUGUUCAGGAACACAUACGUGAACGUUGGAAGAUCAUCAUUCCAUGCUGUCUAUAUAGUCAUGUAAAAGGUACAGCCAUUUAGAAUUUACAACAAUUGACCCUUUACUUUCGUCAUUCUUCUUCUAUGGCAAAAUCAGUUGCAUAAACUUGUUUUGUACGAUCCGGCAAGGAAGAAAUUUUUUACAGGUCUCUUCUGAUCAGGUCUAAACGGAUCUUUUCCAGGUGCCUCCCGAUAGAGAGAUUACCAAAUUUUGACAACAGAUGACCAAGUGACUUCUAAACCUUGGGAUGAUGGGAAUAAAGCCAAAACCUUGAAUUUCAAAUUUCGAAGUUCAGAAUUUGUUUUUUUUAUCG
rnacentral:lncRNA from 1 species